rnacentral:rRNA from 1 species
GACGAACGCUGGCGGCGUGCUUAACACAUGCAAGUCGAGCGGUAAGGCCCUUCGGGUACGACGAGCGGCGAACGGGUGAGUAACACGUGGGUGACCUGCCCUUAGCUCUGGGAUAAGCCUGGGAAACUGGGUCUAAUACCGGAUAUGACCUCAUGACGCAUGUUGUGGGGUGGAAGGCCUUGUGCGGCUAGGGAUGGGCCCGCGGCCUAUCAGCUUGUUGGUGGGGUGAUGGCCACCAAGGCGACGACGGGUAGCCGGCCUGAGAGGGCGACCGGCCACACUGGGACUGAGACACGGCCCAGACUCCUACGGGAGGGCAGCAGUGGGGAAUCUUGCGCAAUGGGCGAAAGCCUGACGCAGCGACGCCGCGUGAGGGAUGACGGCCUCGGGUUGUAAACCUCUUUCAGCCCUGACGAAGCGAAAGUGACGGUAGGGCAGAAGAAGCACCGGCCAACUACGUGCCAGC